rnacentral:rRNA from 1 species
CCUACGGGAGGCAGCAGUGGGGAAUAUUGCACAAUGGGGGAAACCCUGAUGCAGCGACGCCGCGUGAGUGAAGAAGUAGCCCGGUACGUAAAGCUCUAUCAGCAGGGAAGAAAAUGACGGUACCUGACUAAGAAGCCCCGGCUAAAUACGUGCCGGCAGCCGCGGUAAUACGUAGGGGGCAACCGUUAUCCGGAGUUACUGGGGGUAAAGGGAGCGUAGACGGCAGCACAAGUCUGGAGUGAAAUCCCGAGGCUUAACCCCGGAACUGCUUUGGAAACUGUGCGGCUGGAGUGCAGGAGGGGUAAGCGGAAUGCCUAGUGUAGCGGUGAAAUGCGUAGAUAUUAGGAGGAACACCGGUGGCGAAGGCGGCUUACUGGACUGUAACUGACGUUGAGGCUCGAAAGCGUGGGGAGCAAACAGGAUUAGAUACCCCAGUAGUC